GACGAACGCUGGCGGCGUGCUUAACACAUGCAAGUCGAACGGCAAGGCCCUGCUUUUGUGGGGUGCUCGAGUGGCGAACGGGUGAGUAACACGUGAGUAACCUGCCCUUGACUUUGGGAUAACUUCAGGAAACUGGGGCUAAUACCGGAUAGGAGCUCCUGCUGCAUGGUGGGGGUUGGAAAGUUUCGGCGGUUGUGGAUGGACUCGCGGCUUAUCAGCUUGUUGGUGGGGUAGUGGCUUACCAAGGCUUUGACGGGUAGCCGGCCUGAGAGGGUGACCGGCCACAAUGGGACUGAGAUACGGCCCAGACUGCUACGGGAGGCAGCAGUGGGGAAUAUUGCACAAUGGGCGGAAGCCUGAUGCAGAAACGCCGCGUGCGGGAUGACGGCCUGCGGGUUGUAAACCGCUGUCGCCUGUGACGAAGCGGGAGUGACGGUAAUGGGUAAAGAAGCACCGGCUAACUACGUG
rnacentral:rRNA from 1 species